rnacentral:rRNA from 1 species
GAUGAACGCUGGCGGCGUGCCUAACACACGCAAGUCGAACGAAGCACCUUACCUGAUUCUUCGCCUGCGAGUUUGGUGGCUGAGUGGCGGACGGGUGAGUAACGCGUGUGUAACCUGCGCUGUACAUGGGGAUAACAGCUGGAAACGGCUGCUAAUACUGCAUAAGCGCACGUGGAUACAUCUCCUUGUGUGAAAAACUCCGUUGGUACAGGAUGGGCCCGCAUCUGAUUAGCGGGUUGGCAGGGUAACGGCCUCCCAAGGCAACGACCAGUAGCCGGUCUGUGAGAAUGGACGCCGACAUUGGAGCUGGGCCACGGUCCGAACUCCUACGGGAGGCGGCAGUGGGGAAUAUUGCACAGUGGCGGAAGCCCUGAUGCAGCAAGGCCGCGUGAGUUAAGAAGUUUUUCAGUAUGUAAAGCUCUAUCAGCAGGGAAGAUAAUGACGGUACCUGACUAAAAAGCUCCGGCUAAAUACGUG